rnacentral:piRNA from 1 species
UAGAAGCUCUCAUCCAUGGUUGACUGUCUC